GUCGUCAUCACCCUGAGCCCCGAGGCAGCGGCGGUCGCCAUGCGGAAGUCGUGCCGGGUUCAACGCUGCUGCAGCGCCGCCGGGCAGCCCCGGGGCUCCGAGCGCCGCUUCAGCUUCUCCGAAAACUGACAGUUCCCACCAAAAAAAGCCCCCCUAUGACCACCAGGUGAUGCUGGGACAACCGCCAGUGACUCCGGGACACCGCUGUGUCACCAUCACUCGGGUGAAACUGCUCCCUGUGCUCUGAGCACCACAUGGGCACAGGCACAGUCAUCCCCACAUUGUCACCGUGCUAUCGCUAAGCUGCUGACUGUCUUUUGUCACCCCCCAGGCCUGCCUCCAGCCGGACCUGGUAACACUGGAGCUCUCUGGCGCUGUCGCCAUUAUGUGCCACCAGGAUGGGGACGUGGUGGUGUACUCUGCUGCCACCAGAGGGGACCGUGUGUGACAUCAGCGUGGAACAGCUGUCAUCGCUGUUGGGUGUUGCUUUUGUCAACGUGCAUGGGGUGUCACCGCUGGGGACACCUCUGUGUCACCCCUACCGUGUCGCACCCCAAAGUUGGAGGCACCCCUCUGCAGAUCCCCUGGUGUCCCUCCUUCUGACUGCAUUGUUCCCAUGGGGUGGUGGGUGGGGUUGAGGGGGGCACACACUUUAUUUUUGUAAAUAAGAUUUAUUUUGUGAUAACGGUGGACUGGGAGAUGCCGCCCCCCCCAGACCUCUGCAUGAAUAAAAGGCAGAGGAGCGGCU